GAUGAAGAACGCAGCGAAAUGCGAUAAGUAAUGUGAAUUGCAGAAUUCAGUGAAUCAUCGAAUCUUUGAACGCACAUUGCGCCUGCCAGUAUUCUGGCGAGCAUGCCUGUUCGAGCGUCAUUUCAACCAUCAAGCCCCAGGCUUGUGUUGGAGCCCUGCGGCUGCCGCAGCCUCCCAAAACCAGUGGCGGGCUCGCUAUCACACCGAGUGCAGUAGUUUACUCUUCGCUCAGGGCGUGUGGCGGGUGCUAGCCGUGAAACCCCCAACUUCUCAAGGUUGACCUCGGAUCAGGUAGGAAUACCCGCUGAACUUAAGCAUAUCAAUAAGCGGAGGA
rnacentral:misc_RNA from 1 species